UACAAGGGGUGCAAACGUUGCUCGGAAUCACUGGGCGUAAAGGGUGCGUAGGCGGGUCUUUAAGUCAGAGGUGAAAUCCUGGAGCUCAACUCCAGAACUGCCUUUGAUACUGAGGAUCUUGAGUUCGGGAGAGGUGAGUGGAACUGCGAGUGGUAGAGGUGAAAUUCGUAGAUAUUCGCAAAGAACACCAGUGGCGAAGGCGGCUCGACUGGCCCGCGACCUGAACGCUGAGGACCGAAAGGCCGUGGGGAAGCAAACAGGGAU
rnacentral:rRNA from 1 species